AGGGAAGGAGGGGUCGACGGCAGGUCAGUACGCCCGAACUCUUCCGGGCAACACGCGCGCUACAAAGGACAGGACAAUGGGCUGCGACCUCGAAAGGGAAGCCAAUCCCGAAACCUGUUCGUAGUUAGGAUUGAGGGCUGUAACUCGCCCUCAUGAAUCUGGAUUCCGUAGUAAUCGCGGGUCAACAUCCCGCGGUGAAUAUGCCCCUGCUCCUUGCACACACCGCCUGUCAAACCAUCCGAGCUGGUGUUGGAUGAGGGUUAGUUCGAAAGGGUUGAUUCGAAUCUGAUGUCAGUGAGGAGGGUUAAGUCAUAACAAGGUAUCCGUAGGGGAACCUGCGGAUGGAUCACCUCCUAAAUAUAUACCUUGGCGGGCCACAAGCACACUCAUUUCAGGUUUUUGCGUUUUUUUAUCAACAAACUUUUUUAAUAAGUAUU
rnacentral:rRNA from 1 species